rnacentral:rRNA from 1 species
CCUACGGGGGGCUGCAGUGGGGGAUAUUGCACAAUGGGGGAAACCCUGAUGCAGCGACGCCGCGUGUGGGAAGACGGUCCUCUGGAUUGUAAACCACUGUCCCCAGGGACGAAGAUGACGUUACCUGGGGAGGAAGCUCCGGCUAACUACGUGCCAGCAGCCGCGGUAAUACGUAGGGAGCGAGCGUUGUCCGGAAUUACUGGGUGUAAGGGGAGCGUAGGCGGGACUGCAAGUUGGGUGUCAAAUCUACCGGCUCAACCGGUAGCCGCACUCAAAACUGCAGUUCUUGAGUGAAGUAGAGGCAGGCGGAAUGCCUAGUGUAGCGGUGAAAUGCGUAGAUAUUAGGAGGAACACCAGUGGCGAAGGCGGCCUGCUGGGCUUUUACUGACGCUGAGGCUCGAAAGUGUGGGGAGCAAACAGGAUUAGAUACCCCAGUAGUC